GGACCCGCACAAGCGGUGGAUGAUGUGGUUUAAUUCGAUGCAACGCGAAAAACCUUACCCACCUUUGACAUGGCAGGAAGUUUCCAGAGAUGGAUUCGUGCCCGAAAGGGAACCUGCACACAGGUGCUGCAUGGCUGUCGUCAGCUCGUGUCGUGAGAUGUUGGGUUAAGUCCCGCAACGAGCGCAACCCUUGCCAUUAGUUGCUACGAAAGGGCACUCUAAUGGACUGCCGGUGACAAACCGGAGGAAGGUGGGGAUGACGUCAAGUCCUCAUGGCCCUUAUAGGUGGGGCUACACACGUCAUACAAUGGCUGGUACAGAGGGUUGCCAACCCGCGAGGGGGAGCUAAUCCCAUAAAGCCAGUCGUAGUCCGGAUCGCAGUCUGCAACUCGACUGCGUGAAGUCGGAAUCGCUAGUAAUCGCGGAUCAGAAUGUCGCGGUGAAUACGUUCCCGGGUCUUGUACACACCGCCCGUCACACCAUGGGAGCGGGUUCUGCCAGAAGUAGGUAGCCUAACCGUAAGGAGGGCGCUUACCACGGCAGGGUUCGUGACUGGGGUGAAGUCGUAA
rnacentral:rRNA from 1 species